GGCCACCCACGCACGCACGACUCAGUCAGUUUCGUGUUCGUUGCCUUUCAUCCUCAUCUCCCCACCUCCGCCUUCGAAGAGCAGCGCUAGCAACUGCAGUUGGCCGCUACCUGGCAUCUCGAUCCCCUUCUGACCUGGGCGGCGAUAGGCAAAAUCGACGGGGCCUCGCGCAGCGGUGGCCCGGACCUGGAGGCAGCUGCAGCAAAAUCGAAGGCGUGGCUUGGAGGCAGCCCGGACCUGGGCGGCGGGGUAGCAGAAAUCAAGGGCCGCGGGCCUAAUCGCGCCCAGGAAUACCCCUAAGACGAUGGAAUCUCUGGCGCCGGGGCGGACGGUUCCGCCGACGCCAUCGAUCAUGAAGUCUCCCCACCGCCCUUGAUCCCCUUCGAGACGCCACCUCGCCUGACCAACAUACCCGCGUCGCGGCUGCCGUCUCGCUCGACGUUUUUCUCGAUUCUGCCCGUCGCCGCCCACGCUGAUUAAAAUGCACUAGAUCAUCGCCUAGAUGCCGUACAGGUUCUUCGUUCUCUACAGGUUUCCUGUUGGCACCGUAUAAAUUUGCACUUUUUUUUUAUCUGUGGUUGCAGCUUGAUGUAUGUUGCCACUGGAUGUUAUACUUACGGCCUGAAUGGCUGCCGUAGUAAGAACAGAAUAGGUCGUAUAUUCAGAUGAUAAGAGCCAGAAGGAGAUUGUCGAGCUGCUUGGCUUGUGAGUUGUGACUGCUCCUCCAAGAUCGGACCCUGUCUCAGCGCAAUGACAGGACAGGAUGUCUCCCUGGAGGAGCUCAAGGGAGCAGACAAAACAAGGAGAAAGGAGCUAGAAAGUAGAAGUUAUCGUGAUAACCUGCAAGCUUUACCGCACAGGACCGUCUGCAAUGGAUUUGAGAUAUCGCUGCACCGGAGUACCAGAUACAUGAAAUCGAUUAUUUUGUUCUGCUAAUGGGGCAACCUGGCCGACGGUAUCUUUCCAAACUAGAUAUCUACGAACAAUGUAUCUUCUUAUCUUUGUGAUGCCUCAUAGCAAUGCGGGUAUCUGAAUGUUGUAAUGUUUCUUUUAUUCAUAUGUUGUUGUGUUAUUAUUUUUGAAAUAUUACGUGUGGCUAUCUUUUUAUUGGUUUUGAAAUAUUAUGUGUGACUAUCUUUUUAUGUACAUGUGAACUUCCAUAUGUAUUAUGUUUGCAUAUGUUGCAAGAAUUUAUUUGAGUCUCCAAGAACAGUUUUGAAUUGGAUGAUCGUCAAAUUACCCAGGUUGGGUUUAAACUCUUGGUUACUUUGUGGUUUAUUUGCAGUGCCUUCUUGGUAUUCUUUCAUUAUUCACAGAUCAGUUCAGUACCAUUUGUUGCCAAAAAGGCGCAGGUCAUAUAUGUGUACCAUAUUAAGUAUCUUUGCAUUGAGCAUUCUUCAAGUGUAACUUUGUUGAAAAAUAGUCACAAAACUGUUAGCAUAUCCAAAGCUUUUGGUUGAGAAAAGGAAUAUCCAGCGCUUUAGAAUUUAAAGUUUGCAGAAGGCCUCCGAUCCUUGGAAAAAAAUAGGUAUCAAGGAAAUGCAGAGAAACAAAAGUUUCUUAACCUCGCCUCUAAAGAAGCACAAUGAUCAUGAUACUGUUGGGAUUUCACAAGUAAAACUAAAAAGAAAUGCUCCAACAACACUAGCCUUUUACAAAAAAAAGUACUACUCAUUUUUCAUAGUACUGAUCUUUGUGAUUCUUUGUUAAUAGGGUCGUUUAGCACAGUGAUAAUUCUCAUGUGCAGAUUCUUCUCUUCAAGACGUAUAUUUAACAUAGCUUUGAAUUUUGCAGUUACUAGCCACUGAUACAUGUUCAUCAGGUCAAGCUACCUAAUUACUUUGACAAGGAUGCAGAUGACUUACCAAGUGGCCAUGGAAGAGGACGUGGCCGCCGGGGAUGGGCAGGGGAAGAGGUAAAUAUCCGCCAGUUUACACUAAUUGAAUUUGGCGUGUCUCUGCAAAUUGUGCGAUCUUGAUUCUGCCGAUUAAAAGAACUUGAUUCAUUGUUCAGCCAUUUGUAACAUGCAUUUGAUGUUCAUAGGUAUCUACAAGAGCUCUCUCUUAUGUGUGUCUUUAAGGGUUACUCUUGGUACUAGGGCUUUGUUUUGCCGAACAUCAUCUCAACCAUGAGUACACGAUAGAAAUUGUGAGACAAAGCUAAGGGAUAGAUGGACCUUCGUAAAAUAGAACUGAUCAAUCGUCUUUAGUCAUUAUACUGGUCAUGUACGUACUUACCUUUAAGUUUGUUGUUGAAUUCCUGUAAUUGUUAAUACUGCAAUGCAUGAAUAAUUAUUAGUACUACCUCUGUCCAUAAAUAGAUACCAAAAGUUUAUCUAAAUUUGAAUGUAUCUAGCCACAAUUUAGUGUAUAGAUACAUCCGAAUUUAGAUAAAUCUUUGGCAUCUAUUUAUGGACGGAGGGAGUAGUAUACAUGCUGAUUAUUGUCUAUAAUGAAUAGGCACUUCCAGUGGUUUAAAUUUUCUUGACAAUUUUUGCUUGUACUAAGUUAUUUUUUGGAUGCACUGAAGCUUAGUUUGUUCAUCCAUUUAUAUAUAAUACAUGAAAUAGUCUAAGCCUGCAUAUAGGAUGCUUAUUUACCUUCUACCUAAAACUUGUUGGAGAAGAUGGAGUUUUUUGUCAUCUUCCGAAUGUUGAUUUAGCCUCGUAUACUGUGCUUACUACCUCUGGUGAAGAGUCUAUACUAUCGUUUUUUCAAGGGAAAUCUAAAAUCUGAUCUCAACUGUAAGAAGCCAGUUCUUGCACUUCCAUGUGGAAUGAGGAGGUCUCCAACCACUCCCUACUCAUGAUGGAGGCUCGCGUCCGCGAUCCGGUAAUUAAAAGAUAGGAGCUAGCAGCUGGACAUGCACAUCCCCACCACUGGACUGAUGCCGUAUGAGCAGGUGCAGAUGUGGAAGAAGCUACUUCCGGGUUGAAAAAAAUAUAUUAGUACUAUUAGCUCUUGUGUGAUUGACAUGCAGUUGACUUAUCAGAUCAUGUAAGUUGUGUGUGUUGUACUGAAGUGGUAAUAGGCAAGUUAAAUUAUGUUUUGUCAA